GGAGAGAUGGCCGAGUGGUUCAAGGCGUAGCAUUGGAACUGCUAUGUAGGCUUUUUUGUUUACCGAGGGUUCGAAUCCCUCUCUUUCCGUUUCUGCACCUUCGCCU
rnacentral:tRNA from 1 species